rnacentral:snoRNA from 1 species
CUGAUGACUCCUUCCGCUGUUGAGAAAUGAUAUAAAGGGGUGCGCCGCAUAUGCCGUGA